GUCUUCAAAAUUAAAAAAUUUGGCGGUAUUUUAGUCUAUUCAGAGGAACCUGUUUUUUAAUUGAUAUUCCACGAUAAGUUUUACUUUAAUUUUAAAUUUAUAUAUCGUCGUUUAUAAAAAUUUUAAUAUAUAAUUUUUUCAGAUCAAGGUGUAGUUUAUAUUAAAGUUAAAAUGGGUUACAAUAAAAUUUUAAAAUAAAAUGGAUUUGAUAGUAAGCUCUAAAAUAUGCACAUAUCGCCCGUCGCUUUCAUUUUAAGGUGAAAUAAGUCGUAACAAAGUAGGCUUAUUGGAAAAUGAGCCUGGAAUGCAAAUUAGAGCUUGAUAAGCAUUUUAUUUACAUUAAAAAGUUAAUUGUGAAAUUCAAUUUAAUUUGAAUUUUUAAUUUUAUUUAUUUUUAAAAUUUUUUAUAUUUAAUAGAAGGAUGUUUUUUCUUAUUAUUUUUUUGAAAUGAUUUAAUUAUAGUUUAUAGUAUAGUGAUAGAAAUAUUUAAAAUUUUUAAAAGAAGAUUUAAUUUUUCGUACCUUGUGUAUCAGGGUUUAUUAAUUAAGUUUUCUCGAAUUUAAAAGAGCUAAUUUUAAUGUUGAAUAAUUAUUUAAAAUUUUAAUUUAGUAAUGAAACGUUAUUCGUUUUUGAGUAUAUCUAGUUUUCCGAGAAAUGAAUUUAAUUCAGCCAUUAUUUAGAUUAUAUCUAAGGGAUAAGCUUUUAAUUAUAUAGUUAUAAAUUUUUAGUACAAUAUAGUUUAUAGGAUUAGAAUUUUCCAUUUUUAAUAGUAUGUUAUAAUUUUUUUAACUUUUUUAUUGGUAUGUUUAUUUUAAUUUUUUUUGUUAAGUAAUAAUGAUAAAAUUAGUAAGGUUUAAUUAAGGAAUUCGGCAAAUUUAACUUUCACCUGUUUAAUAAAAACAUGUCCUUUUGAUUUUGAUUUAAGGUCAGGCCUGCCCAAUGAUUUAAUGGCCGCAGUAUUUUGACUGUGCAAAGGUAGCAUAAUCAUUAGUUUCUUAAUUAGAAGCUGGAAUGAAUGGUUUAAUGAGAGGUUUACUGUCUCUAGAAUUUUAUUUUUAAGUGAAAAAGCUUAAAUUUUAUAGAAAGACGAGAAGACCCUAUAGAGUUUUUUUGUUGGGGUGACAUAAAAAUUAAAUUAACUUUUUAUUUUAAUGAUUUUUUGAUCCUAGAUUACAAGAUUUAAUUACCUUAGGGAUAACAGCGUAAUUCCUUUUUAAAGUUCUUAUUG
rnacentral:rRNA from 1 species